UGCUUAAUUAUUAAGGUACAGAUAUUAAUCUGACUUGACUGAUACAACAAUAAAUAAAUUUACAAUACCUUUUCAAAGUACAUGUUUUUCCACCAAUUGAAAUGUGUCUAGAAUUCCCACUGUUUAGGUGCUUUCCAGUUAAAGUAAGUAAAGUGCCACCAGUUUUAGGACCGUAACUUGGAGAAAUACUUGUUAUUAUAGGAUCCUGAACAAGAGAUAAAAACAAAACAAACUAACUUGUUAAUUUUAUAACUCUAAGUAGAUUAA